rnacentral:lncRNA from 1 species
CAGCUCCACCAGCCUCGCCUCCCUCGCUAAUUACAGACCUUCCCUGGGGAGGAAGGCCUGGCCAGGAGGCCCUCAUUACGGGCUGCAAACCCCGAUGACCAAACCCGGGGACUGGAGUGUGGCGCUCUGGAAGCCACGCCCAGGGCUCCUGCUCAGCCCCGCUGUGCCCUCGGGAACAAGGUUGAGAAGCGGCCGGCUGGACGGAGGCCUGGGCCUACACAGCCUCGCCCUCAGAGAUGGGCUUUGAUGUGGGUCUGCCUGGGGGGUAAUCAUGGGUUCCGAGGCCCUGUCUGGGCUCUGCCCACGGCCCCCAGCCCAGGCCACCAGAGCCAGCCCCUGAGGAUGACCUUGGCAGACGGGGCAGGGACAGAGGAUCAUCGGAGGACUUGGAAGAGGAGCUCUAAGGCCACACUUCCUCAUUGUUCACACACUCGUCUCCUCACGAGGAGCAAACAGCAAAGGUCUUUCUAUGUAGUCCAGGCUGGCCUUGAACUCAUGGUGAUACUCCUGUCUCAGCUUCCUGAGUGCUGGGAUUACAGACAUCACCACUAUGCCCUGCUCACUGAUGAAUUUUAAAGGAGGAAAACAACAAGGUCAGAGUGUUGGUUUUAUUUUGUAAAAAAUGCAGCUGAACCUGACUCAACUCCAGAGAAGGCGCAGCUUGCUCAGAGCCAUCAGCAUCACCAUGGCAACCAUGCCAUCCACGAGCACUUGAAAAUGUCAUUAUCAGCAGCGGCCCUGUGUGUUCCUUCUCACCGCAAGGCAAACUUGGGCCCCCACAGCUCCCUGACCCUCAGGGUGGGGGGCUGGGACUGGGCUCCCCCAGAAGCAGAGAGUCGAAAGGAGGGACUUUGGGUUUCCCUCAUCCUCAUCUUGCCUGUCUGCCUUGGACAUCCGUCUAGAAGGAGCGGAGAGCAUCUCUUUCCUGCUGGGCAGGCAGGCAGAGUGGACACUAAGCUCACACUUUCAAGGUCUGAAAGCCAUGAUUUCUCUUUGUUUCUCUCUUUUUGGAGGGGAGGUGGUUUGAGACAGAGUCUCACUAUGUAGCCCAGGCUGGCCUCAAACUCUCAGUGAUCCUCUUGCCUCAGCCUCCUGAGUGCUGGGAUUGACAAGGGUGGGGCACUGCUCCCAGCUGCCAUUUCUAUUUCUAAGGUUGUGAGGUGGGGACAGCUGCAGAGCUCCUGAGGCCUAGACUGCAAAUGUGGAUGAAGAAGAUGAGGACAAUGCUGAUGGAACCCACUGCGGGGUGUCUAUCACCAGGAGUCAGCUUUCUGAGUGUGGAUAUGAGCAGCCACUUUGGGCCACGAGGCAGGGGCCAGGCUGAGGAUGGAGAACACCAGGGCUAGGCACAGCAGGAUUAUGAAGUGGAGCAAAAUUCUGUAAGGUAAGAUGUGACAGAAAGCCAACUCAAGCUGGCUUCAACAAAAGGACACUGGCUGGCCCACAUAGCAGGAAGUCAAGAGGUAAAGUAAAUGUUAUGGACUGAAUUGUGUCCUGUUUCUUCCUCUUCUUCUUCUUUUUUUUUUUUUGGUGCCGGGGAUCGAACUUGGGUCCUUGCACUUUCGAAGCAGGCGGCGGAAUCACUGAGCUAAAUCCCCAGCCCUGUGUCCUGUUUCUUACAAUGCAGCCCAAAUCCCCAGGGUGACUCUAUUUGGAGGUGGGACUUUUUAAGGAGAUGAUUAAAGUUAAAUGAGGUGGAAUCCAAUACGAAUGGCGUUCUUAUAAGAAGAGGAAGAAUGGGCUGGGGAUUUAGCUCAGUGGCACCAUGCCUGCCUCUCAAGCACAAGGUCCUGAGUUCUAUCCUGGUACGAAAAAAAAAAAAGAAGAAGAAGAAGAGGAAGAGCUGGGUGCUGUGGUGCAUGUCUGUAAUUCAUCCCCAAAACUGGGAGGCAAGGUAAGAAGACUGGCAAGAGUUUGAGACCAUCCUGGGUUACAUAGUGAGUUCAAGGCCAGCCAGAACUACAUAAUAACAACUGUCUCAAAAAACAAACAAACAAGGAAAUCUAUGUCUCUUUCAUAUAAGAAUUUAGAAAAAGAC